rnacentral:rRNA from 1 species
CACGUAGGCGGAUUUGUUAGUCAGGGGUGAAAUCCCGGGGCUCAACCUCGGAACUGCCUUUGAUACUGCAAGUCUCGAGUCCGAUAGAGGUGGGUGGAAUUCCUAGUGUAGAGGUGAAAUUCGUAGAUAUUAGGAAGAACACCGGUGGCGAAGGCGGCCCACUGGAUCGGUACUGACGCUGAGGUGCGAAAGCGUGGGGAGCAAACA